CGGACGGGUGAGUAAUGCCUAGGAAUCUGCCUGGUAGUGGGGGACAACGUUUCGAAAGGAACGCUAAUACCGCAUACGUCCUACGGGAGAAAGCAGGGGACCUUCGGGCCUUGCGCUAUCAGAUGAGCCUAGGUCGGAUUAGCUAGUUGGUGAGGUAAUGGCUCACCAAGGCGACGAUCCGUAACUGGUCUGAGAGGAUGAUCAGUCACACUGAACUGAGACACGGUCCAGACUCCUACGGGAGGCAGCAGAA
rnacentral:rRNA from 1 species